rnacentral:rRNA from 1 species
ACAGCAGUCGCCGCGGUAAUACGUAGGUGGCAAGCGUUGUCCGGAAUUAUUGGGCGUAAAGCGCGCGCAGGUGGUUUAAUAAGUCUGAUGUGAAAGCCCACGGCUCAACCGUGGAGGGUCAUUGGAAACUGUUAAACUUGAGUGCAGGAGAGAAAAGUGGAAUUCCUAGUGUAGCGGUGAAAUGCGUAGAGAUUAGGAGGAACACCAGUGGCGAAGGCGGCUUUUUGGCCUGUAACUGACACUGAGGCGCGAAAGCGUGGGGAGCAAACAGGAUUAGAUACCCCCGUAGUCCCUGUCUCUUAUAC